AAGAGGCAUGGUGUAGAGGACUCAAUAAACUUCCUGCAGCCUUCCUAUCACACUUAUUCUUUUACAUCUGUUUUACAUGAAAUUGAGAAGUGAGUGCAGGUUGACCUGCUGCAGGAGUUCCCACUCAGAAGGGCCACAGAGCUUACAGAGGAGGUGAGAGCAGACCUCCUGUCUGUUUGAAACCUCCUGCUGCACGUGCAGAGAGGGCUGGAGACUAAGGCUUCCCUGUGGUGGCUGAUGACUCCCCUCUGGUGGCCGUUGACUGUCAUGGUCCGAAUCCACUGUUGAGUACCUCUGUUGUUUCGCAAACAGAAGAGAGACCAAUAUUUAGUUUGCACUGCUGUGAAAUGCAACACCAACCUAAUAAAUGGAAAUCUACCAGCUUUUCCCUCUAGGAACCAAGAGCUGAAGCAGAAGCACCACUACAAGAAUCUCAGUGUGGCAGACAAGGGGGCUGAAGACGUAUCACCCAGCAUGACCACAGGACUCCCUGGGGAAACAGUGAUUUCUAGAUGCCCUCCACAAUUGGCUUCUCCCACAUUCUGUUCACGCUACCGACGGAGACAGCUCGCACAUGUUAAUCAAACAGCUCCCGCAUCGACAAGAGCAAACUGGAGUAUCAAAAGCCUUGCCUUUAUCUGUGCACAGUUCAUUUUAAUAAUCAGAGACAUUAAAUCAGGUCUGAUCAGAUUAAAGUCAUACUAGAUGUGUCUAUUACAGUCAUAGCUGUAACAGCUGAUGUAAUAUUUAUCCUGCAGUCUCCCGUAAGGAACAUGUUGCUCUCUUUCUCAACACCUUCUCUUUAAAUCAGACUUUAAACGGGAACUCCAAUACUAUAAUUAUUUUUUGUGGUGAGAAAGAAUCUGCAUUGAUGAGUGCAUCUCAAACCGCAAUAAAGAAAUCACACACAGUAACUUGUAAAAACCUCCAAUUUGCACCACAAAAUAGCUGAACUUUCCAGGUCUACACAGAGCCAUAUUCUGCGAUUCAAAGCCAAAUUCAAUUCUAAUUCACUUCUGGCGACGUGAUGCAGCCCUAUGACAUUGUAAACAAGCAGGCUUGUGAAUACACCUCUUUUAAUCCAAUAGAAACAUAGACCGUUUCACAGAUAAAUACUACUCGUUAACUCUGCACACAGGCAUGCAGAUCAUGCUUAAUUCGAAAUUUGUCAAUUUGUCAAUUUGUCAAUGUCAAUUAAUUUAUUUUGUUAUCGAGAUUUAAUAACUGUUCUGAGAAACUGU